UGUGUGCAGACUCCUUGAACCGACAACUUUGGCUUAAAGAUUCACCUUGAACCCCACAAACCUUCUGAGUCCUGAGAUGGUUUGGGAUACUUGCUCCUCUGUCCUUCCUUCUGCUUCUCCGUUCAUGGCAUCUUUAUAGAGGUGUUCUCUUCCACUGUUCUGUGUGCUUUCUCUUUUACAGGCAUGCCUUCCCCACCCCUAAUAGAUAUCUUACCCAUCUGACUCUUUCCUGAGAUGACUAUUUGUUUGUGUUUGUUUUUGUUUUUGUUUUUGUUUUGAAACAGAGUUUCUCUGUGUAAUAGUCCUAGCUGUCCUGGAACUUGCUUUGUAGACCAGGCUGGCCUCCAAAUCACAUAGAUCGACCUGCCUCUGCCUCCCGAGUACUGGGAUUAAAAGCGUGCACAUCAUACCUGGCUCCUGAUGACUGUAUAAGAGUAUCCUAACAGCAACAACAACAAAUUCAAACAAAAGUCGGGGAUUUCAACAUCUUCUGAUCUUCCCCCACAUUUCCAUUAGCACUUCAAAGUAAAAACAGGGCUUCCCAGAAUAAACAUGCUUCGGCACAUAUGGCUCCAUUUGCCUCCACACCUUUCUAUGAAUCGGCAGUGUUACUGUCUGUGUAACAGACAGAGAACUGACAUUGAGAGUGGUAGUGGAUCGUCAGGGUCUCUGAGGGAAGACUGAGACACAAGGAGCCCGUGUUCCUUAGAGAUGGGGUCACAGUUAGAAAUGUGUAGUUCGGUUUGUUUCUGUGCACACUGUGUGGAGUGCACUUACACAAGCCUAAAUGCUACGGGCCGCCUUACACUUCGCUGUAUUACAGUCUUCCAGGACCCCAUCACGCCAGAAAGCCAUCCUUGGCUGGAAUGCUGUGGCGUAGCUCAUCUCUUGUAUUUGAUUCUGACUCCAAAUUCUUUUUGUCACAGUACCCUGCAGCCCUGAAAACUGUAAGCCGAAACCCUCCUUCUUCUCUUAGUAUGCUUCUUUUUCUGGUGGUGGUAGGGUGGUUUGAGAUAGGGUUUGUUUGUGUAGUCUUGGAUGUCCCAGAAUUAGCUCUGUAGACCAGGCUGGCCUCAAACUCACAGAGAUCCACCUGCCCCUACCUCCCAAGUCCUGGGACCGAAUGCGUGCACCACCACUGCUCUGCCCCUUAUUCUGCUUCUUUUCAGGUAUUUGUUUGCAACAAGAGAAAGGGAAUGUGCACCAUUGUUCCUAUGGCGGCAUAGAUGGGUCCUCCACCCUUCAGGACAUGCUCCCUACCUGUGAUGACAAAUCUUAUAUACCACUGUUCACACUCCACAGUUGUAUAGGACUGUCCCUAGCCACACAGCCACUAUCUUCAGGAGUUUGGCUGGGUCUGUGCACAAAAGGUUAUCUAGGUGGUCUUGUUGACUUAGAAGAAAAGGCAAGCAGGGUCAUAGGACUUUCACUGUAGCGAUCAGCCAACCCUUCUAACCAGUUGUGUGCAAUUCUGCAUGUGGCCUCAGUGUAUAGAUAGUAUGGGCUGAGUGUAUAGGUGGGGAAAGACUAGAGCCUUCUACACAGCUGUGGGGGAGUCAUUAUCCACACUGGGUGCAGGCCUUCCAGUGUGGCUGCUUUAAGUCACCACACUCCUGCCUGUCACUCCUCACCCAAUCCUCUGUCAGUAAACCCUAAUAAAAUCACUGCCCCCCCCCAGAGUGAACUUGGGGGAGUCAUACUGCUGUUUCUAUUGGGACCUUAGUAGGAGCAGGUGGAUGAAAGAAUUUUUAGCAGAAUCCCCCAACAGAUCCCUUGUUUUUAGUGGCUGCUUUCUAAUUCUAGAAUAAAAUCUAACCUUGUUGAGGCUCAGAACAUGCUACCCCAGAAUAUGACAUACUGGCAGGUUGAAGCAUUGUGAUGUCAGAUGCAGUGUUCUUAUGGGACAGUGAGUCAGGGUGAUGGUGCAAUGAUCACUGUGAUCUCACAGUGUACCAUGUUGAUGUCACAAAGGAGUGUUGUGAUGUCAAGAUGCAUCACUGUGAUGUCACCAUAAAGCAGUGUGAUGGCACAAUGGGUUAUUGUGAGUUCACAGUGUGCCAUAGUGAUGAAAAAAGGAAGUACUGGGAAAGCACAGUAUAGCAGUGUAAUGUGGCAAUGGACCUCUGUGAUGUCACAGUGCAGAGUUGCGAUGUCACCACUGACCGUUAUGAUUUCACAGUAUAACAUGAUAAUAUCAGAGCAUAUGCAAGACAGGAGAACUGAUUUCACUUAGAAAAUUAUGAUGAGGAUGUAGCAUUUCGAGAGGACAAUGGGAGAUUGUAAUGGCACAAUAGAGCCUUGCAAUGAUAUUAUUCAGCAUUAUGACAUCAUAAUAAAGCAUGGUUGAAGAGUACACAGUUGUGAUUAUGCAGUUCAGCAUUGUGAUGACAUUAUGAAACUUUUUAAAUAUCACAAUGCAGCAUUGUGAUGGAACAAAGGGAACUGUGUGUGUGUGUAUGUGUGUACCUGUGUGUGUUAUCACAGUACAGCAUUGUGAUGGCUCAAGGGGAAUUGUGUUUGUGUGUGUGUAUGUGUGUGCACCUGUGCAUGUGUAUGUGCAUGUGCCUCUGUGUGUGUGUGUGUGUGUUGUGUGUGUGUGUCUGUGCAGGCACAUAUGCUGCCAUGUAUAUGUGGAAGUCACAGGAUAACCUGGUUCUCUGCUUUUACAGCUGGGUCCUAGGCAUUAAACUCUGGGCAUCAGGUUUGGUGGCGAGUGUCUUAAUUCAUUGAGCCAUCUCGCUGGACCCAGGAAAAAAAUUUAAGCUAUAUUGUUGAAAGCAACUGAUAUUUAAAUAUGUUAAUGCUGUAGAAAGUCUUGAUCUGGGCUCUAGAACACUGCUAAUAAGAGUCUACAAGACUGGGGCUAGAGAGAUGGCUCAGUGGUUAAGAGCACUGACUGCUCUUCUGAAGGUCCUGAGUUCAAAUCCUAGCAACCACAUGGUGGCUCACAACCAUCUGUAAUAAGAUCUGUCACCCUCUUCUGGUGUCUGAAGACAGCUACAGUGUACUUACAUACAAUAAUAAAUAAAUCUAAAAAAAAAAAAAAAAAAGAGUCUACAAGACUGGUUGUGGCAAUGGCCUGGGUGAAACAUCUGGAAGUUAGAACAAAAUGAAGUGUUUUAUUACCAGAUAGUGAAGAAUCACAGACAUUUCUAGACAGAUGAGUGUCAUAAGUAGAUCUAUGUUUAAGGUAGAUAAUUUGACUUCAGUGAGUUGGUAGAAUUAAAGUAGGAUGUGUAGAAAUGAAAUAAUGCCAUAUCCAGAUGCCUGUUAAAUUAUGAUAUUCUCCUAUUUUUAAGCAAAUAGUCACUUGAUAGAACUGAGAAACCAGGAAAGCAAGCACUUGAAGAAGGAAGACAUUCUCUACCCGAACCACUGAGUCUGCAUUAUCAAGACAGACUCAAGAUUUAUAUCCUGAAUUUUAUUUCUGGAAUUCUCCCUUGUAGACUUGCUUUGGCAAAUGCUGUAAAUCUCGAAACCUGAUGCCUAACACAUGAGUCUACUCAGUAAAUUACUUUCUCUCCCUUUGACAAUUCAGAUCUGUUAAGUAUUUAUAAAUAUCAUCAAAAUUAGUAGACACUCACAUGUAGUUGUUUUUUGCUAUUUUGUGGGUUCUUCUUUCUUCCACCUCUUUCCACCCUUUUUCCACUCUUGCAACCCCCUAACACUAGAUAGGAGAGAAAAACAAGAUAGAAAGGAAAAGAGGGCAAUGUUAUCCUUAGACUACUUCCUGUUGAUUAGGAAAAUUCCUUGGGGUAACUUUGAUCUUCAAUGUCAGCAUAUCUAAUAUAUUAUUUUUAUUUCUUCUUUGCAUAGGACUAUUUAACAAACUGCAACCAACAGCAAACAACCAAGAACCAAGAGCCCACCCUACCUCACCUCUAGGUUAUUUAGCAUUUGUAUAGCCUCUGAAAAGUCCCCAGAAUUCCAAAUGUCACACAAUUGCAGAAAAGAAACUAUCUUCAGCUGACAAAAAUCAUGCCCCUGUUAGAGCACUAGACAAAUCAUAGUCAACUGCUGUGGCCCAUUUGAAACAUCCCCCAUAUCCCACAUCUGGGAUUAAAAUGAAAACAUAUUCCCAUAAUAUUUCUAUGUUUUUUCAAAGAAACCAAAAUUCUCACUACACUCACAUAUUCUGUAUCUUUGGUGCUUCUAUGACACAGAAGGAAGUAUUGUAUCAUAUUUGCAUUUUGGAUAAUAAAUUUACUGUCAGGAAAAUAACAAGAAUUUUUAGCUUCCAUGACAAUCUGAGUUUAUUCAGCAAUUUUUGAAUGGUGUUUGUGCAAAAAGAUACAAGAUAAGCACAAUUAAGUCUUGGUUUCUAGGCACCAAUCAAUACCUGGGCUCUCUCAUUUUUAGUGUAGAGGCUUACAGCUAUACACAUCCCUCUUAAAACCAACUUCUUAGCUGGAAGUGAUGGUGGUGGUAGUGGUGGUGGCUUAUUCCUUUAAUCCCAGCUCUCAGGAGGCAGAAACAUGGUCUACAGAGCAAGUUCCAGGACAGCCAAGGCUACACAGAACUGUCUCAAAACACCAAAACUAAACAAAAAUCCUAACAUCCUGAGCUAUGGCUCUGUCACUCAUUAGCAUCAGUGAUUUGCUGGUUUACUAAAGGUUUUUUCUCACCCCCCCCAUACAAGACUAUGUACAAACCUACAACACACACACACGUGUCACACACACACACUCACAGAUACAUACACACUCACACACUCACACGCCUUUACUUUCCAAAAGAUGUUUAUGGACUAUAGCUAGCUGGUCCUCACUGUCAUGACUCCACUUUUGAUGUUGCCUAUUAGUUUACUCUCCUAACAUAUCUGCUUCUACAGAAAUCCGAUGGUGUCUGCAGCUUUAUACUGUCCUGCGGUCCAUGUGUUGUAGAUUGGCUGCCACUAUCUUUCCUGGUAUGUCUAUAAUGUUCUGUACUUGUUUAGAAAGUAGCUAAGAUCUUGAAGUUUAAUGGCUAGAGUGCAGGGUUUUUUGUUUGUUUGGUUGGUUGGUUGGUUUUUUUUGUUGUUGUUGUUUUUGUUUUGGUUCUUUUUGUUUUUCAAGACAGGGUUUCUCUGUGUAGCCCUGGCUAUCCUGGAACUCACUCUGUAGACCAGGCCGGCCUCGAACUCAGAACUCUGCCUCCCAAGUGCUGAGAUUAAAGGCGUGUGCCACCACUGCCCAGCCAAGACUAUUUUUUUUAUAUUCUUAACAUUCAUUCCAGGUUAAAAGUUCAUUUUUCCAUAUUAUCACCCUGAUGGACUUUUAAAAGUCUAUAUAAGGGGUUGGUGAGAUGGCUCAGUGGUUAAGAGCACCGACUGCUCUUCCAAAGAUCCUGAGUUUAAAUCCCA
rnacentral:lncRNA from 1 species